AACGCGAAGAACCUUACCUACCCUUGACAUGUCCUGGAGGUCCCUGAGAGGGGACUGUGCCCGAAAGGGAACGGGAACACAGGUGCUGCAUGGCUGUCGUCAGCUCGUGUCGUGAGAUGUUGGGUUAAGUCCCGCAACGAGCGCAACCCUUGUCAUUAGUUGCUACAUUCAGUUGGGCACUCUAAUGAGACUGCCGGUGACAAACCGGAGGAAGGUGGGGAUGACGUCAAGUCCUCAUGGCCCUUAUGGGUAGGGCCUCACACGUCAUACAAUGGCCGGUACAGAGGGUUGCCAAGGCGCGAGCCGGAGCCAAUCCCAGAAAGCCGGUCGUAGUCCGGAUUGAAGUCUGCAACUCGACUUCAUGAAGUCGGAAUCGCUAGUAAUCGCGGAUCAGCAUGUCGCGGUGAAUACGUUCCCGGGUCUUGUACACACCG
rnacentral:rRNA from 1 species